AGCGAACGCUGGCGGCAGGCCUAACACAUGCAAGUCGAGCGGGCGUAGCAAUACGUCAGCGGCAGACGGGUGAGUAACGCGUGGGAACGUACCUUUUGGUUCGGAGCAACACAGGGAAACUUGUGCCAAUACCGGAUAAGCUCUUACGGGGAAAGAUUUAUCGCCGAAAGAUCGGCCCGCGUCUGAUUAGCUAGUUGGUAGGGUAAUGGCCUACCAAGGCGACGAUCAGUAGCUGGUCUGAGAGGAUGAUCAGUCACAUUGAGAGUGAGACACGGCCCAAACUCCUACGGGAGGCAGCAGUGGGGAAUAUUGGACAGUGGGGGCAACCCUGAUCCAGCCAUGCCGCGUGAGUGAUGAAGGCCCUAGGGUUGUAAAGCUCUUUUGUGCGGGAAGAUAAUGACGGUACCGCAAGAAUAAGCCCCGGCUAACUUCGUGCCAGCAGCCGCCGUAA
rnacentral:rRNA from 1 species